rnacentral:rRNA from 1 species
GGACGAACGCUGGCGGCGUGCCUAAUACAUGCAAGUCGAACGGUCUUUCUAUGGAAGCUUGCUUCCACUGAGAAGAUAGUGGCGAACGGGUGAGUAACACGUGGGUAACCUGCCCAUAAGAGGGGGAUAACAUCCGGAAACGGGUGCUAAUACCGCAUAGUUUUCUUGAUCGCAUGAUCGGGAAAGGAAAGACGGCCUUUGUGCUGUCGCUUAUGGAUGGACCCGCGGCGUAUUAGUUAGUUGGUGAGGUAACGGCUCACCAAGACGAUGAUACGUAGCCGACCUGAGAGGGUGAUCGGCCACAUUGGGACUGAGACACGGCCCAAACUCCUACGGGAGGCAGCAGUAGGGAAUCUUCCGCAAUGGACGAAAGUCUGACGGAGCAACGCCGCGUGAGUGAAGAAGGUUUUUUCGGAUCGUAAAACUCUGUUGUCAGAGAAGAACAAGUUGGAGAGUAACUGCUCCAGCCUUGAUGGUAUCUGACCAGAAAGCCACGGCUAACUACGUGCCAGCCGCCGC